AUUGAACGCUGGCGGCAGGCCUAACACAUGCAAGUCGAACGAGUGGCGGACGGGUGAGUAAUGUCUGGGAAACUGCCUGAUGGAGGGGGAUAACUACUGGAAACGGUGGCUAAUACCGCAUACCAUCAGAUGUGCCCAGAUGGGAUUAGCUAGUGGGUGGGGUAACGGCUCACAAAGGCGACGAUCCCUCGCUGGGCUGAGAGGAUGACCAGACACACUGGAACUGAGACACGGCCCAGACUCAUACGGGAGGCAGCAGUGGGGAAUAUUGCACAAUGGGCGCAAGACUGAUGAAGCCAUGCCGCGUGUAUGAAGAAGGCCGUCGGGUUGUAAAGUACGUUCAGCGGGGAGGCGUUACCCGAAGAAGAAGCACCGGCUAACUCCGUGCCAGCAGCCGCGGUAAUAC
rnacentral:rRNA from 1 species